rnacentral:rRNA from 1 species
CCUACGGGAUGCUGCAGUGAGGAAUAUUGGUCAAUGGGCGCGAGUCUGAACCAGCCAAGUAGCGUGAAGGAUGACUGCCCUAUGGGUUGUAAACUUCUUUUAUACAGGAAUAAAGUGAGGUACGUGUGUCUUUUUGUAUGUAUCUUAUGAAUAAGGAUCGGCUAACUCCGUGCCAGCAGCCGCGGUAAUACGGAGGAUCCGAGCGUUAUCCGGAUUUAUUGGGUUUAAAGGGUGCGUAGAUGGGUUGUUAAGUCAGUUGUGAAAGUUUGCGGCUCAACCGUAAAAUUGCAAUUGAUACUGUCAGUCUUGAGUACAGUUGAGGUAGGCGGAAUUCGUGGUGUAGCGGUGAAAUGCUUAGAUAUCACGAAGAACUCCGAUUGCGAAGGCAGCUUACUAAACUGCCACUGACAUUGAGGCUCGAAAGUGUGGGUAUCAAACAGGAUUAGAUACCCGGGUAGUC